rnacentral:rRNA from 1 species
UUUGGAGGUUGUGCCCUUGAGGCGUGGCUUCCGGAGCUAACGCGUUAAAUCGACCGCCUGGGGAGUACGGCCGCAAGGUUAAAACUCAAAUGAAUUGACGGGGGCCCGCACAAGCGGUGGAGCAUGUGGUUUAAUUCGAUGCAACGCGAAGAACCUUACCUACUCUUGACAUCCAGAGAAUUCGCUAGAGAUAGCUUAGUGCCUUCGGGAACUCUGAGACAGGUGCUGCAUGGCUGUCGUCAGCUCGUGUUGUGAAAUGUUGGGUUAAGUCCCGCAACGAGCGCAACCCUUAUCCUUUGUUGCCAGCGAUUCGGUCGGGAACUCAAAGGAGACUGCCGGUGAUAAACCGGAGGAAGGUGGGGAUGACGUCAAGUCAUCAUGGCCCUUACGAGUAGGGCUACACACGUGCUACAAUGGCGUAUACAAAGAGAAGCGAACUCGCGAGAGCAAGCGGACCUCAUAAAGUACGUCGUAGUCCGGAUUGGAGUCUGCAACUCGACUCCAUGAAGUCGGAAUCGCUAGUAAUCGUAGAUCAGAAUGCUACGGUGAAUACGUUCCCGGGCCUUGCACUCAACGCCCGUC